rnacentral:rRNA from 1 species
GUCACGGUCGCGAAGGUGUUUAGCCAGGAUUUUGAUUGCAUCAGAUUUAGGAGAUGUUUGUAUGGGCAGACCCUUGAGAUGUGGAACAAAUUACUUGAUAUGUGUAGUCAGGUGACCUUGUCGGAGGAACCUGACAGAGUUAAAUGGCUUCUUACCUCUUCUGGGAACUUUUCGGUUAAAUCUCUGUACCAUUAUCUUGUUGCUCGACAAGUUGUUUUCCCUUAUAAGUUGCUAUGGAGAAUGAAGAUGCCGUUGAAAAUUAAAGCCUUCUCCUGGUUAGUGAUCAAGAAUAGGAUCCUAAACAAAGAUAACUUAAGUAAAAAAGGGUGA